AGUGAACCUGCGGAAGGAUCAUUACCGAGUUUUCGAGCUCCGGCUCGACUCUCCCACCCUUUGUGAACGUACCUCUGUUGCUUUGGCGGCUCCGGCCGCCAAAGGACCUUCAAACUCCAGUCAGUAAACGCAGACGUCUGAUAAACAAGUUAAUAAACUAAAACUUUCAACAACGGAUCUCUUGGUUCUGGCAUCGAUGAAGAACGCAGCGAAAUGCGAUAAGUAAUGUGAAUUGCAGAAUUCAGUGAAUCAUCGAAUCUUUGAACGCACAUUGCGCCCCUUGGUAUUCCGGGGGGCAUGCCUGUUCGAGCGUCAUUACAACCCUCAAGCUCUGCUUGGAAUUGGGCACCGUCCUCACUGCGGACGCGCCUCAAAGACCUCGGCGGUGGCUGUUCAGCCCUCAAGCGUAGUAGAAUACACCUCGCUUUGGAGCGGUUGGCGUCGCCCGCCGGACGAACCUUCUGAACUUUUCUCAAGGUUGACCUCGGAUCAGGUAGGGAUACCCGCUGAACUUAAGCAUAUCAAUAAGCGGGAGGAA
rnacentral:rRNA from 1 species